ensembl:lncRNA
CAGCCAAUGGCAAAACUGUUGAAUUCAGCAGGAGCUGCAGCAGUGGAUGCUAGCAUCCUCCAGGCCACUCCAAUAAGGAAGAAGUCUUCUCCAGCUGGAACUGAAGCCUGUUGGAGCUGAAAGUGCAGUCAUAUAUUUCCUACAUGGUGUUCACAGAAGGCCAGAAGGACAGCUGAAACCUUGAAACAUCUUUAAACAGUCUGGAGAAAGGGCGAUUAAUUGCGGAGACACUGUAGCAUAACCGAGAUGUUUUCUUGGUGAACCAUCGUUAAAGAAAUAGCUUCCUUGAGGUGAGAGCUCACGAAGUAUGGAUGCCUACUGUCCAGUGAAUAUACAACUGACAAUGAAGGUGGAAG